GUUACUGAAUGUAUACGGAGAAGCCUGAGGUAAUAUAAAUAAUGUUCGGUGCCGUUAACGCUAACGACAGGCAUUCUACUGAUCACCUCUGCGCCUCCUCUAAUUUUCUUUUGCCAUUUUCCAGAGGAUUGUUAGAAUGUGUAGUAAUGUUGGGAAACAUCAGUGCUUCCGUGAGUAAGAAAGAACAACUGACAGGGCGUCAAUCUGCAGGGGGUGACAGAAUAAACUGUCUAGGCACAUGUACAGUAGAUAUGAGAGCAGGAUGUGUUGUCACCAAAUGGAGAACUCAAUGUUGACAUUGAGGAAGAUUGUUUCCCAGGGUUGAAGUUUGUUUCUAAUGGCUUGUGGUAACUUGUUGAUGGCUUUUGUGUGAGCGGGUGAAUGGAUUUUUUUGUAUUAUUUUAUUUGUUGCGAAUCUGGGAGUGCAUGGUGGUCCAAUGGGGAACAGCACGGGGUCCCCCUUCCGCUCGAAGCGGUCAGUAUAAAUUGACCGCUCGGAGUGAUUUUCUUCCUUUUUUUGACCCGCGGCGAGAUGUAGGUCGGGUCAGGUUUCUGCGUGGCGCACCGCACGCGUGGAGUGAGGUUGCUUGUGCAACUUGGCUGGGUGUUUUGUUAUAUAUGAAUUGUUUUGUUUGGUGUAAAAAGUUUGUUGUGUACGUAUUGUUUUGUACGUAACGUAUUGUACGUAGUGGUUUUACGUAGUGUUUUGUUUGGUGUGGACUUUUGGAUGUCGAGAAUGGAUGAAGGGAGGUUUCUGUGUGUCAGGGCCUGGACCAUCCUAGACAUCAUAAGUCGGCGCAACACCAUCAAAUGGUCAAACGUAAUGUUUUGUUUCGUUGAGUUCUGCUUGUAUUGUAUGUCUUGAGUGUUUUGUUACGUUAAAGUUCUGUUUUGUUAAUCUAUUUUUUAUUUAUAUAA